rnacentral:rRNA from 1 species
UACCGAGGGUGCAAGCGUUAAUCGGAAUUACUGGGCGUAAAGCGUGCGUAGACGGUUAUUUAAGUCAGGUGUGAAAGCCCCGGGCUCAACCUGGGAAUUGCAUUUGAGACUGAAUAGCUAGGGUGCGGAAGAGGGAAGCGGAAUUUCCGGUGUAGCGGUGAAAUGCGUAGAUAUCGGAAGGAACACCAGUGGCGAAAGCGACUUCCUGGUCCAGCACCGACGUUCAGGCACGAAAGCGUGGGGAGCAAACAGG